GAGCGUAUAGCUCAGUGGUAAAGCGUGUGCUUAACAUGUAUGAGGUCCUGGGUUCAAGCUCCAGUACCUCU
rnacentral:tRNA from 1 species